GGUCAGCUGACACAUCCCUGCCAAUCUCCGGCAGACCCUCCCUCCCAGACCUUCCUACUUCCUGGACAGCAUCCAUGUUGAAGGCAGCUUCAACAUGGAUGCUGUCCAGGAGGUGGGAGGGUCUGGGAGGGAGGGUCUGCCGGAGAUUGGCAGGGAUGUGUCAGCUG